GGUGCCAUCGUCUAGUGGUAGGACAGCACAUUGUGGUAAAUAUGGUCUCUCUAAAGAGCCGUAAAGCAAUAGCUGUGCAAACGGCGGUUCGAUCCCGUCUGGCGCCA